rnacentral:rRNA from 1 species
AUGUGUAUGGAAGAAUUGCCAGCAAACACAGCCUUCUCCAAUAAAAAAAAAUACCAUCCGUCUCAUUCCAGUCACACGGCUGUGUGGGUACACUUAUUCUUAAGCGUGGUUUCCUUCAGCUAUGCAGUCACCUCUUUGGGUUGCGAGAACUUGACACAUCUUAACAAACGUUACUGCCCACAAAAGACUCUGCCAACGACAAAACCAACAGAGCACAUUGCAAGAACCCAAACUAUAUAUGGAAGCAUAGGAAUUCUUUACCUUCUUUACCUUAAUCCAAAUCUUGCGAGUGGAAACCGCUCGUCAGGGAUAUCGAAAUCUUUCUUUGAAGAUGUUUAG